rnacentral:rRNA from 1 species
AUAUUGGUCAAUGGAGGCAACUCUGCACCAGCCACGUCGCGUGAAGGAUGCCGGCCCUACGGGUUGUAAACUUCUUUUAUAUAGGAAUAAAUUGAGUCACGUGUGACUUUUUGCAUGUUCUGUAUGAAUCAGGAUCGGCUAACUCCUUUCCAGCAGCCGCGGUAAUACGGAGGAUCCAAGCGUUAUCCGGAUUUAUUGGGUUUAAAGGGUGCGCAGGCGGAAGAUUAAGUCGGCGGUGAAAUUUUGCAGCUCAACUGUAAAAGUGCCAUCGAUACUGGUUGUCUUGAGUGUGGAUGAAGUAGGCGGAAUUUGUGGUGUAGCGGUGAAAUGCAUAGAUAUCACGAGGAACUCCGAUUGCGCAGGCAGCUUACUAGGCCAUAACUGACGCUCAGGCACGAAGGCGUGGGGAUCAAAC